GAGCCAUGUAGUAAGCACAAACCAAAUUAUUAUUUCUCCUUUUACUAAAGAAUACCGUGUGCUUGCUACUGAAUAGUGGCUUAUGUCUAUUUUUCGAGGGCUGAUCCCAUCAGAGU